rnacentral:rRNA from 1 species
GACGGAGGGUGCAAGCGUUGUUCGGAAUUACUGGGCGUAAAGGGCGCGUAGGCGGGUGGACAAGUCUCUCGUGAAAGCCCACGGCUCAACCGUGGAAUUGCGGGAGAUACUGUCUGUCUUGAGUCCGGGAGAGGAGGGUGGAAUUCCCAGUGUAGCGGUGAAAUGCGUAGAUAUUGGGAGGAACACCGGUGGCGAAGGCGGCUCUCUGGACCGGUACUGACGCUGAGGCGCGAAAGCUACGGGAGCAAACGGG